UUGCGUCGCGUUGUAGCGCGUGCCACGGAUCUUCGAAGGCGAACAGAAAUGGCAACAUUUCCAACAUUGACCUCAGAUCAGGCAAGGCUACCCGCUGAAUUUAAGCAUAUCAAUAAGCGGAGGAAAAGAAACUAACAAGGAUUCCCCCAGUAACGGCWAGUGAAGCGGGAACAGCUC
rnacentral:rRNA from 1 species